rnacentral:rRNA from 1 species
AGUGAACGCUGGCGGUAGGCCUAACACAUGCAAGUCGAACGGCAGCACAGUAAGAGCUUGCUCUUACGGGUGGCGAGUGGCGGACGGGUGAGGAAUACAUCGGAAUCUACUUUUUCGUGGGGGAUAACGUAGGGAAACUUACGCUAAUACCGCAUACGACCUACGGGUGAAAGCAGGGGAUCUUCGGACCUUGCGCGAUUGAAUGAGCCGAUGUCGGAUUAGCUAGUUGGCGGGGUAAAGGCCCACCAAGGCGUCGAUCCGUAGCUGGUCUGAGAGGAUGGUCAGCCACACUGGAACUGAGACACGGUCCAGACUACUACGGGAGGCAGCAGUGGGGAAUAUUGGACAAUGGGCGCAAGCCUGAUCCAGCCAUACCGCGUGGGUGAAGAAGGCCUUCGGGUUGUAAAGCCCUUUUGUUGGGAAAGAAAAGCAGCAGGUUAAUACCCCGCUGUUCUGACGGUACCCAAAGAAUAAGCACCGGCUAACUUCGUG